rfam:Camelus ferus unplaced genomic scaffold scaffold1890, whole genome shotgun sequence.
GAGGGUACAGCUCAAGUGGUAGAGCGCGUGCUUAGCGUGCACGAGGUCUUGGGUUCAAUCCCCAGUCCCUCCU